AUACGGAGGGUGCAAGCGUUACUCGGAAUCACUGGGCGUAAAGCGCGCGCAGGCGGCCUUUUAAGUUGGAUGUGAAAGCCUACGGCUCAACCGUAGAACUGCAUCCAAAACUAUUAGACUAGAGUGUGGGAGAGGAAGAUGGAAUUAGUUGUGUAGGGGUAAAAUCCGUAGAGAUAACUAGGAAUACCAAAAGCGAAGGCAAUCUUCUGGAACACUACUGACGCUGAGGCGCGAAAGCGUGGGGAGCAAACAGGAUUAGAUACCCUAGUAGUCC
rnacentral:rRNA from 1 species